UACGGAGGGGGCUAGCGUUGUUCGGAAUUACUGGGCGUAAAGGGCGCGUAGGCGGCAAUUCAAGUCAUCUGUGAAAUCUCCGAGCUUAACUCGGAACGGUCAGAUGAUACUGUUUUGCUAGAGUACAGAAGGGGCAAUCGGAAUUCUUGGUGUAGCGGUGAAAUGCGUAGAUAUCAAGAGGAACACCUGAGGUGAAGACGGGUUGCUGGGCUGAUACUGACGCUGAGGCGCGACAGCGUGGGGAGCAAACAGG
rnacentral:rRNA from 1 species